rnacentral:rRNA from 1 species
GAUGAACGCUGGCGGCGUGCCUAAUACAUGCAAGUCGAGCGAACAGACGAGGAGCUUGCUCCUCUGACGUUAGCGGCGGACGGGUGAGUAACACGUGGAUAACCUACCUAUAAGACUGGGAUAACUUCGGGAAACCGGAGCUAAUACCGGAUAAUAUAUUGAACCGUAUGGUUCAAUAGUGAAAGACGGUUUUGCUGUCACUUAUAGAUGGAUCCGCGCCGCAUUAGCUAGUUGGUAAGGUAACGGCUUACCAAGGCAACGAUGCGUAGCCGACCUGAGAGGGUGGUCGGCCACACUGGAACUGAGACACGGUCCAGACUCCUACGAGAGGCAGCAGUAGGGAAUCUUCCGCAAUGGGCGAAAGCCUGACGGAGCAGCGCCGCGUGAGUGAUGAAGGUCUUCGGAUCGUAAAGCUCUGUUAUUAGGGAAGAACAGAUGUGUAAGUAACUAUGCACGUCUUGACGGUACCUAAUCAGAAAGCCACGGCUAACUACGUG